rnacentral:antisense_RNA from 1 species
GCUGGAGUGCAGUGAUGCAGUCAUGGCUCACUGCAGCCUCAACUUCCUGGGCUGAAGUGAUCCUCCUACCUCAGCAUCCUGAGAGGCUGGGACCAUAGGUCACCACCCCCAGGAGACCUGGAGGACUGAAUGCUGCUGUCCCCAAGGAGGAGGCUGCCGUCUUAUCCCAGGAGGGAGAGCAGAACCUGCCUGAUCUCACUGCUGGAUCCCUCUUCUUCCUGCCAGGAAAAUAAAAAGGUUCAAAAGGAAGUUGCUGCGUAUCCAUCUGAGGCCUCUGAGGACAGCAAAGAGCAAAGGCCCUGGGACCGGGUCUCCGUGCCCAUGACAGAGCUCUGGCUGGACUGGUUCUGAGC